GAGGUCCUACGGGACGCAGCAGUGGGGAAUAUUGGGCAAUGGGCGCAAGCCUGACCCAGCAACGCCGCGUGAAGGAAGAAGGCUUUCGGGUUGUAAACUUCUUUUAUGAGGGACGAAAGAAAUGACGGUACCUCAUGAAUAAGCCACGGCUAACUACGUGCCAGCAGCCGCGGUAAUACGUAGGUGGCAAGCGUUAUCCGGAUUUACUGGGUGUAAAGGGCGUAUAGGCGGGGCUGCAAGUCAGAUGU
rnacentral:rRNA from 1 species